GGCGGGGCUGUGUCUCCCAGGACUUGAGUGGCUGGGCAGAUCUCUGUGCACAUGUCUCUGCCAAAAAGGAUCUAAGACAAACUCCCCAUCCACCUCCUUCCUUGGCAGCCAAGAAAACAGAGGCCUGGAGAGAAUAAGAACCUUGCCAACUUCCCCAGCCAGUAAGGCGCAGGCGCAGAACCAGGCCUCCUCAUCCCAGGGGCACCGCAGGAUUGCAGAACCCUAGAAAGCUUGGGGCACAGGGUUGACUCAGCCUAGGCUGAAGCCCAGAAGUUUGCGAUCAUUCGUCUCAAAUAGGCUUCUCUGAUCCUGAGAGCAGCACUUUGACCUCACCCUCAACACUCCACCUCUCUGUCACCCAAGAGGACUAGCUUCUCCCAGCAAGCUCCGCUCCUCCCAUCGUUUCGUG
rnacentral:lncRNA from 1 species